rnacentral:rRNA from 1 species
AGUGAACGCUGGCGGUAGGCCUAACACAUGCAAGUCGAACGGCAGCACAGUAAGAGCUUGCUCUUACGGGUGGCGAGUGGCGGACGGGUGAGGAAUACAUCGGAAUCUACUUUUUCGUGGGGGAUAACGUAGGGAAACUUACGCUAAUACCGCAUACGACCUACGGGUGAAAGCAGGGGAUCUUCGGACCUUGCGCGAUUGAAUGAGCCGAUGUCGGAUUAGCUAGUUGGCGGGGUAAAGGCCCACCAAGGCGACGAUCCGUAGCUGGUCUGAGAGGAUGAUCAGCCACACUGGAACUGUGCCACGGACCAGACUCCUACGGGAGGCAGCAGUGGGGAAUAUUGGACAAUGGGCGCAAGCCUGAUCCAGCCAUACCGCGUGGGUGAAGAAGGCCUUCGGGUUGUAAAGCCCUUUUGUUGGGAAAGAAAAGCAGCAGGUUAAUACCCCGCUGUUCUGACGGUACCCAAAGAAUAAGCACCGGCUAACUUCGUG